rfam:Bombyx mori DNA, contig: Bm_scaf41_contig23624, strain: p50T/Dazao, build 2, whole genome shotgun sequence.
UUAAGUCAAAUUUGUAUGGAUUAGGAACCUUUGCUUAUGUUUGCCGCUAGGGGCACCGUUCCAACUGCAUACAAAUUUGAGUUA